rnacentral:snRNA from 1 species
AUGCUCACUUUGGCAGCACAUAUACUAAAAUUGGAAUGAAACAGAGAUUAGCAUGGCCCCGUGCAAGGAUGACAUGCAAAUUCGUGAAGUGUUCCAUAUUUUU